UGGGGAAUUUUGGACAAUGGGCGAAAGCCUGAUCCAGCAAUGCCGCGUGUGUGAAGAAGGCCUUCGGGUUGUAAAGCACUUUUGUCCGGAAAGAAAUCCUUGGCUCUAAUACAGUCGGGGGAUGACGGUACCGGAAGAAUAAGCACCGGCUAACUACGUGCCAGCAGCCGCGGUAAUACGUAGGGUGCAAGCGUUAAUCGGAAUUACUGGGCGUAAAGCGUGCGCAGGCGGUUUGCUAAGACCGAUGUGAAAAUCCCCGGGCUCAACCUGGGGAACUGCAUUGGUGACUGGCAGGCUAGAGUAUGGCAGAGGGGGGUAGAAUUCCACGUGUAGCAGUGAAAUGCGUAGAGAUGUGGAGGAAUACCGAUGGCGAAGGCAGCCCCCUGGGCCAAAUACUGACGCUCAUGCACGAAAGCGUGGGGAGCAAACAGGAUUAGAUACCCUGGUAGUCCACGCCCUAAAACGAUGUCAACUAGUUNUUGGGGAUUCAUUUCCUUAGUAACGUAGCUAACGCGUGAAGUUGACCGCCUGGGGAGU
rnacentral:rRNA from 1 species